GGACAAAGAGUUCCUUAUGUGCGUGAAUGAUGCCAAUGUAGCACUCAGUCAUCCCUCAAGAGAAGUUUAGGACAAGGUUCCACAAGUGGGAAGCUAUGCUUUCUUUCCAUGGUGCUCAGUCCAUGGACAUGUUUACAACCGGUACUAGUCGCUCCUCCAGAGCUCGACGUCGUCAUCUCCGCAACGAUGAUACAAAAGAAGAGGAGCAAAUACAAGAGGAGCAGGCACAAGAGCACGAGGUAGAUAUUGAUACCCCCCAGCCUUCAUAGCCGACGCAGCCAAAGAAAAGCAAACAUAAGACACCACGUGCGCCGAGAAAGAAGAAAUUUUAUUCUCGGUUUCAUAGUCCGGAGUAUCCUCAAAACCUUUUGUCUAAGGGGAUGACUAGACAAGAGGAGGAGUGUAGCAAAUAAGAGGUAGGGGAAGAGGGAGAGGAUGAGCAAUGGGAAAAGGAAGUGCCUACAAGAAAGGGGAAAGCCACGAGGAGAGGAAGAAGGAAGUGAGCAAGAACGGUCCUUCAUAGUUCUCAAGUGGCACUUCAUAUGUUGACAAGAACUUGUCGUAUGCUCGUUAAAUUUGUAUGAACUUGUCGUGUAGUGAACUUUUUAUGUUAUCUUGAAUUCGUGAACUUGUUGUGAACUGAA